UACGGCCACAUCAUAUUCAAACAUCAUCUCUCGUACGAUCACCGAAGUUAAGCAUCGUCGAGUCUGGUCAGUAUCUUGAUGGGUAACCACUUGGGAAUAUCUGAUGCUGUAAG
rnacentral:rRNA from 1 species